UCAAAAUCCCUCUCUCUCAACAGAGCUCUCUUCUCAAAAUCCCUCAGCUCCGAAAGGAAAUUCUGUCCUCCACACCAGCGAUCUCUUCGCCAAUUUCAGUUAAUCAUUCUCUCUUUUUAUCUACUGAUUUCUCAACUGAAAUCCUCUCGAAAAUCAGAAAUUGGGGCAGAAAUCUCUCAUUUUCAUGCGUUUUCCCCAUUUGGCCGUUCAAAAUUCAAUUUCCACAUUUUUUGGUUCGAUCUGAGUUUUUUUUUUUUUUUUGCUGAUUUCACUGAAAUCUUACUUAGGAAGUGGAAAAUCCUGUCGUUUCUAGCUCAUUUGCUAGAUUUGAGCAGUUCUGCAUUGCAAUAUUAGCGAUUAGGGUUUGGUGUUCGAUCUGAGAGCAAAACCUUGUUCUCUGCUGUGAAAUUUGCUCCUCCAUUACCGAUUUCCAUGUAGGCUAGAUAAACAAGGGGCAUAUACACCAAUUGCAGCUCCUCACCGAACCGAACCCUAGCUCUUCUCUCCGUCUUCUUUAAUAUUUCUCUCGUCUUCGUCAGAUCUACCGUCUCUCUCUCUCUCUCUCUCUCUCUCUCUCUCUCUCUCUCUCUCUCUCUCUCUCUCUCUCUCUCUCUCUCUCCGAUCAUCAGAUCCUCAAAAGACAUUUGAUUAUUCAUUUGAAGAAGUUACUCAAAUUUACAGUUGGCAUUAUUUGAGGACAGAGGAAGGGUUUUAACUUUCAAUCAGGUGAGCUUCCCCCUCUCAUUUCUCCAAAAUUUUCCACUUAGGGUUUGGUUUUUGUAAUUUUUUCUUGAUUUCUGGUGCUUGAUCUGUUUUGAUCUUGAUCCAACUUAUGUCUCUUUAUUCUUAGAGAUUUCAUUGGAUUUUGUUUCGAUUCUUGCUGAUUUAAGUUGUAAUUUAGGUUUUUGUAUUUAGAUUUUAGAGAUUUAUCUUUGAUUUAUGUAAUAUCAUGUAUUUGAAAUACAUUUUGAGAUUUCAUUGGA